UUGCUGUUUUCUGUUGAACAUGACAUUCUUCAACCAACCUCCGAGAUUACCAGCGGUGGGAUGCUGGACACGGUUAUUAAUGUUAAACACCCACAAAUGUGACCUUUUAAUUUAUUUGUUUAUACUUUUUAAAUAGUAUAUUUUAUCUGUUAAUGAAGACAGGGGUCGUCAAAAGCGGACUAAAUAGCUAAACAUGAGAUUUUAAGUUUGACAACUAGCUACCGUUAGCGUAACUUUGACUAAGUAACGGCUGUUUUCCGCUCACAAACAAACAUGUCGGAGGAGAACAUCAGCUUGUACGAGUUGUUGAACUUAUCCAUCGGGACUCAGAGGGGAGCGGUCAACUUCGGCGCCCUACACGCCCUGCUCCACGCCGUCCUGAAGCAGUUGGACAUCCGUGAGAUGGAGACCCGAUGGAGAGACACUCCUCCCGGCGUCGGGCACCCUGAUGCUCCGGUGGUGGUGGUAGUGGGUGUCACCGAGCAGCGGCAGCAGCGCGCGGAGGAGGAGGAGCACCGUGUUCAGAGGGACAUCUCCCCGGUGGAGAAGGAUGUUAGGUCCGGCACCGAGCUGCAGGCGGAGCGGACAGCCUCCCCUUCGUCCCCGACCCCGUCCUCCGGCCCCGCAGCGGACAGCCAGUGGAGGCUCCGCUCCCGCAUCCAGACCUGCGAGGACGACGUGUCCAAGGCCAUGCAGCUCAUACAGGAGCUCCACAACCAGAAAGACAGUCUGAAGGAGGAGAUAAAGGAGCUGCGCCACCAGCAGAAGAUGACUGGUGUUGAAGCAGAGACUGUCACCGCCGUGGAGAAGUGCUGCCUCCGUGUGGACGCCCUGGAGGAAACUGUGAGAACUCUGAGGGCCACAUUUCCAAAGGAUCCAGGUCCAGAUCAGCUGAGUCAGUGUGUGACCUGGGACGUCAUGCAGUCAACUCUGCUCAGCGAGAAAGAAGACCUUCAGGAGGAGCUUGUGAAUUCAGGGCUUGUUGGUCCAGCCCCAGUGCUCAAACCCACAAACACACCUGUCAACAGCGACCUCCCCGCUGUCCACGCCGCACCUCCUCAUACCAGCACGCCCUCCUCCUCCUCCUCCCACCCUGUCGAGGACACUGGCAGGCCAGCAGCUCCUAGUUCUCCUCCUCGUCCUCCAGCGAUUCCUGGACAGAUUUCCCCUCUCCGGGAAGUGACGGACGCCCGGCCGGACACAGAAGCUCCCUCAGUCCCGUCUCUUAAAGCACCGCAGACUCAUCCUAAAGCUGCCGCUGUUACGCCGCUGUCUCGCCAUGCCAGCGGCUCGGAGCGCUACCCAGAGACGGUGGAGGCCCUGAGGAAUAUCGGCAAACUGAAGGAGAGGUUCAACAAGCUGGAAGCUCGUGUUGCGGCGCUGGAAGAAGUGAAGCUGGACCAGUCACAGCUGACACACCUGAGAGAGCUCGUCACUAAGGGAUCAUGGGAGGUGUCGAAUAACCUGCUGGAUCAACUGAACCAGCAGAGAGCUUUAAUAGACAGCCUGAUGAGUGGCCGGGAAAAGCUGGACAAUUUGGAGGACAUGUUUAUGAACCUAGCGAGCCACGGCAGUGAAACAGAGGCAGCUCCGGGGAGUGCAGAUUCAGACAGCUUUGCCUCUCGCGUGCUCAGACAGCAAAUAUCCUUCCUCAGGAAGUCUGUGCAGAAGCUGGAGGACGACCUGAAGCAGCUGAAGGCUGAACAGGCUUUAACUGUUAAGGAGACAACAACAACAGACCCACACCUACAAGAUCAGCUGGACGACCUGCGAGGCAUGUUGGAGGACAUGAUGUUGUCCUUGACCUCUCAGCUGUCCAGCAGCCUCCAGGACGAGGCAGGGCAGGACGAGGCAGGGCAGGACCAGAGCGAUAGCCAGGGCUUUGGUCAGAGAACAGAGAGAUCAGCUUUCACCACCAGCACAGUAAACAUUGGCAGGAAGCUCAGCUGUCUGUUCCAACACUAUGAGCAGCUGCAGGACACAGUGAACAUCCUUCUCCAGCAGCACACAGGAGGCAGAGCAGGGGCACUGAAGGACAUAGAGGACGUGCAGCUGGUGAACGACGUGCAGAAGGCGAUCCUGCAGCUUCAAGCAGAGUGUGGGAAACUGCAUGAAACCACCAGGUGUCUGCUGGAGGACAACAGGCAGAAACAGAGCCACAUAGAGGAACUGUACAAGACGACGGAGGAGCUGGAGGGGAAGAAGGCCGACAAGCACAUGGUUGAGAAUGAAAUCAAAGCAGAUAAAUCGGCCCUGGAGAGCAAAGUGAGCCGUCUGCAGUUUGACUCGGUGACGGAGCAGCUCAACGCCAUGUUCCACGAGCUGCUGAACAAGGUGACCGGCCAGGAGCAGGACUGGCACAAGGUCGUCGACAAACUCUCCACCGAGAUGGAGUGUAAGAUGAACAGGAUCGAGUUAGACUCUGUGAAGAGGCAGCUGGAGGGUCGCUGGAGGAACAUCCACGAGAAGCUGCAGGCGCAGGGAGCUCCGGAGCACGAGGACGCUGCUGGUUUAAGAAAGCAGCUCGUGGACAGAUUUCACUGCCUCUCCUGUGACCGACCUGUUGUCAAGUACACCCCCGGACCGCAUCCGGUGAAGCUGCCUUCCUCUCCUGGAUUCCCCUCUCACAAGUCCAUCCGGCCGUUCACCGUUUACGCCCUGGAGCAGUUUCGACAGCACUACAGGAGCCUGAAACCAGGGACCAACCGCUACAACUUUGAGGUAGCUAACCCCGGCAGGAGAAGGGAGCAGCUUCAGAAGAGCCACGCCGUGAUGUGCAGGCAGAUAGAGAGCGUGCAGAGGCGACUGAAACGCCGCGACAGGGCCGGCGGCUGCGACGCCACGAGCGACAGCCUGAUCCAGAACCAGCCGGGAGUGCUGCACGAGCGAGGCUCUGAGACGACGGCGGACGGCAGUCACCUGGCCAUGACGCGGAGCUGCGGGGGGAGUCACACGGUCACCUACGCCAGCCAGCGACGCGCCGGCAUGCAGUACAUGAAGCACUACACCCAGACCGAGGGGGACGGUUUGAUUCCGUCGGAGGAGGUUGAUAUCGUCGGACUGGACGGGCACAUUUACAAAGGUCGCCUGAACGCAGCUGCCAUGAGAAACACAGACACUAAACUACCUAUCAUCCCUACCAAAGACGCUGAGAGCUGGAAAUGUCGUGGUGAGAGGGAGUCUGCUCUGAUGGCCGCAGGCAUGUGCAAAACUAAAGACAAGGCCAAGUGCUCCCUGCCCCACAAACCCGCCGGUUCCCCGGAGAUGGGACACAGCGCUCCGGCUCAUCACCCCCCCAGUGCCAAGAGCGUCCAGUGCAGCCGCUCAGCCUCCAGCAGUUCGGGUCGGGACUGGCCCGUGUCGGCUCUGGGCUGCACGUCUCAGAGCUCCCUCACUCCGGCUUCAGCUGCUGCCGACACAGAGCGUCAGGCCAACGAACCGCUCAACCUGUAGGGGGCGACACCAAGCCCCCCAGUGCAUUUCAUACUUAAUUAACUUCUGCAGAGAGAAGGAUGCAGUUUGAAAGACUGAACGUUUCCCCCCCCCCACUGCAACACAUCCGCCAACGUGUCCCUGACCAAGACACCCAACUCCUCGCUGCUCCAGAGGCGUGCGACCUCUGACUCUGCACAGCAGUUGAAGGUUGGAUGUAAUUUUAGUCGGAGGUUUCCAAACACAGACCAUCGUUAUUAUUCCUGCUUCAAACAUGGAGUGAUGUUAAGGAAUAAAGCCACACGGCGUCUGAAGCGCAAACACAGACCGCAGCGUUCCGCCCGUGUUCAGGCUGGAUCUCUGUGUACGGUAUAAACAAUAGCUUCCAUGACUCUCCGUCACGCCGCCCGGGAACAGCGUGUACCACACACAACACAUGUGACCCUCAUGCAUUAACGCCCAACAGACAACAAGCCACAGAACCGGUUCUCUAUCAGACAUUCAAUAUUUAUUCAUCCUGGUUUCUGGUUUUAAUAUUUUAUUCUUCACAUUAUCUGCUGCAUUUUUACAAAAUAAAAGUUUUCACUGUUUAUUUAUUUUUGCUUUAUUUGCAUGUUGACUUGUGUUUUUUAUAUAUUGAUUGUUGUAAACCUGUGUGAUUCUUAUUUUAUCUGUACUAGUUUAUGUUUUACGCUGACGGAGAAGCACUUUGUGACUGAAAUAAAGCUAUAAUAAUUCUUAAA